UGUUUGUGCAGACUUCUGCGGCAACUCCCUCCUGCCGGCUGUGCCGCGUCGUUAGCCGGCGGCGACGGCGGGGCAACGGGGCAAGGCGGUCUGCACAUGGUCGCCAACUGAAAAGUAUUCCAUCACCAAUAGACCCGCUGUAAACUACGAGAUGGUGCACGGUGAGAUGAGAGAAAUCAUUGGCGCGCCAAGGAAUAAUAAUCUGCGGGCGUGAGCUCAACUCCAGUCCACCGCCAGCAACGGAGCAUGAAGCUUUGACAAUGCCACGCAUUCGUACUUGCAAAACGUCAGAAAAAUCAUCAAACAAACAUCGGCUGAAGAGCCCAAGACAGAAGCCAACAGGAAAUUUGCCAACAAGUGGCCAUAAAAGCCUCAGCAAUGAAAUUUGUGUCAGCAUAUAGCCAAUGCUUCUCGAAUAGUCCAAGGGGGGCCAAUUGCCUUACGCCUACACUCUGUGAGACUGCAUAGAUAUUAAUGAUCAAGACACUGAUAACCUCACUAUAUAGGCGUGUGUGUUUCAGUAAAAUGGAUGACCUGGAAUACCAUGAUUCCAAAUAUCUCUCUCUCUUGCCUUGGACUUUUUGCUGCCAACAAAAAUUCAUCCAAAAUUGGUGAUCAUUUGUAAUGACUCUGGUCCUUCACUUACUGUAGUUUAAACUGGGAGGCUGAAGUGAGUAAUGGCCGUGUUUAUCUCGAAGGCAAUCUGCAUAAAGGGCAUCCUGAACUGCAACCACAGAUAAACCACUCGAAAAGUGUAAAAUAUGGAUAUAGAUGACAGAUGGUUAAAGUCUAUGAAAAAGCUGAUACUAUAGAUGUGCCUCAAAAGAUGUACUACAUUUUACAUGAAGAAUGAACUACGAGAAAAAUAAUGCAAGCUAUGUGCCACUUUUGUUGAACCAUGAUGAAAAACAAAAGUUGAAACAUAUUUCUCAGCAAUGUAUUCACCAUCUCAAAAUGAAUGUUUCUAAUUUUAUAUGUCAGUGUUACAAGGGUUGAAUGAAAAGUAAUGUCUCCAUCUUCGUUAACUGGGUUUGGAUGGGAAUAUUUUAAUAAA